rnacentral:rRNA from 1 species
GAUGAACGCUGGCGGCGUGCUUAACACAUGCAAGUCGAACGAAGCACUCUAUUUGAUUUUCUUCGGAAAUGAAGAUUUUGUGACUGAGUGGCGGACGGGUGAGUAACGCGUGGGUAACCUGCCUCAUACAGGGGGAUAACAGUUGGAAACGACUGCUAAUACCGCAUAAGCGCACAGGAUUGCAUGAUCCGGUGUGAAAAACUCCGGUGGUAUGAGAUGGACCCGCGUCUGAUUAGCCAGUUGGCAGGGUAACGGCCUACCAAAGCGACGAUCAGUAGCCGACCUGAGAGGGUGACCGGCCACAUUGGGACUGAGACACGGCCCAAACUCCUACGGGAGGCAGCAGUGGGGAAUAUUGCACAAUGGGGGAAACCCUGAUGCAGCGACGCCGCGUGAGCGAAGAAGUAUUUCGGUAUGUAAAGCUCUAUCAGCAGGGAAGAAGAAUGACGGUACCUGACUAAGAAGC